GAUGAAGAACGUAGCGAAAUGCGAUACUUGGUGUGAAUUGCAGAAUCCCGUGAACCAUCGAGUCUUUGAACGCAAGUUGCGCCCGAAGCCAUUAGGCCGAGGGCACGCCUGCCUGGGCGUCACACGUCGUUGCCCCCCCAUCUACUCCUUCGGGAUUGCGGGGGGCGGAUGAUGGCCUCCCGUGCGCCUCGUCGCGCGGUUGGCAUAAAUGCCAAGUCCUCGGCGACGCACGCCACGACAAUCGGUGGUUGCGAAACCUCGGUUGCCCGUCGUGUGCGGUCGUCGCGCAUCGAGGGCUCGAAAAAAUUGUCGGGCUCCGGCUCGGCUUUCAACGCGACCCCAGGUCAGGCGGGAUUACCCGCUGAAUUUAAGCAUAUCAAUAAGCGGAGGA
rnacentral:misc_RNA from 1 species